AACGCACAUUGCGCCCUCUGGCAUUCCGGAGGGCACACCUGUCCGAGCGCCGUCGCAAGCUGAGGCCCAGCCUUGUGUUGACGGACAACUUUACGGAGUUGCCGUCCAAACUUCGACGGCGCCGCACCGCGGCCGACGAUGCACAAACGCAGCAAUCGACCACGGAGGCGGCCGCCUUGUAAAACUACCAAGCUUGGCCUCGGAUCAGGUGGGGAUACCCGCUGAACUUAA
rnacentral:misc_RNA from 1 species